GGGCGUGUAGCUCAGUUGGGAGAGCGCUUCGUUCGCAACGAAGAGGUCGUGGGUUCGACUCCCAUCACGUCCA
rfam:Elusimicrobium minutum Pei191, complete genome.